UACGUAGGGGGCUAGCGUUGUCUGGAAUCAUUGGGCGUAAAGCGCGUGUAGGCGGUCCGGUAAGUCCGCUGUGAAAGUCGGGGGCUCAACCCUCGGAUGCCGGUGGAUACUGUCGGGCUUGAGUACGGAAGAGGCGAGUGGAAUUCCUGGUGUAGCGGUGAAAUGCGCAGAUAUCAGGAGGAACACCAAUUGCGAAGGCAGCUCGCUGGGACGUUACUGACGCUGAGACGCGAAAGCGUGGGGAGCAAACAGG
rnacentral:rRNA from 1 species